UACGUAGGGUGCAAGCGUUGUCCGGAAUUAUUGGGCGUAAAGAGCUCGUAGGCGGUCUGUCGCGUCGGCUGUGAAAACUCGGGGCUCAACUCCGAGGUUGCAGUCGAUACGGGCAGGCUAGAGUUCGGCAGGGGAGACUGGAAUUCCUGGUGUAGCGGUGAAAUGCGCAGAUAUCAGGAGGAACACCGGUGGCGAAGGCGGGUCUCUGGGCCGAUACUGACGCUGAGGAGCGAAAGCGUGGGGAGCGAACAGG
rnacentral:rRNA from 1 species